UACGUAGGGGGCUAGCGUUGUCCGGAAUCAUUGGGCGUAAAGAGCGUGUAGGCGGUCCGGUAAGUCCGCUGUGAAAGUCGGGGGCUCAACCCUCGGAUGCCGGUGGAUACUGUCGGGCUAGAGUACGGAAGAGGCGAGUGGAAUUCCUGGUGUAGCGGUGAAAUGCGCAGAUAUCAGGAGGAACACCGAUGGCGAAGGCAGCUCGCUGGGACGGUACUGACGCUGAGGCGCGAAAGCGUGGGGAGCAAACAGG
rnacentral:rRNA from 1 species